GUCUAUGGCCAUACCACCCUGAAACAUGCCCAAUCUUGUCUGAACCAGCAAGCUAAGCAGGGCUGGGCCUGGUUAGUACUUGGAUGGGAGACAGUCUGAAAAUACUGGGUGCUGUAGACA
ensembl:rRNA 5S_rRNA 5S ribosomal RNA